rnacentral:rRNA from 1 species
AACACCCGUUCCCAUUCCGAACACGGAAGUUAAGCCCUCCAGCGCCGAUGGUACUGCGUAAGCGGGAGAGUAGGACGCUGCCGGAA